rnacentral:rRNA from 1 species
UACGUAGGGGGCAAGCGUUGUCCGGAUUUAUUGGGCGUAAAGAGCGUGUAGGCGGCCUUACAGGUCAGCUGUGAAAACUCGAGGCUCAACCUCGAGACGUCGGUUGAAACCGUAAGGCUAGAGUCCGGAAGAGGAGAGUGGAAUUCCCGGUGUAGCGGUGAAAUGCGCAGAUAUCGGGAAGAACACCCGUGGCGAAGGCGAGUCUCUGGACAUUUCCUGACGCUGAGGCACGAAAGCCAGGGGAGCAAACGGG